AGUGAACGCUGGCGGUAGGCCUAACACAUGCAAGUCGAACGGCAGCACAGUAAGAGCUUGCUCUUACGGGUGGCGAGUGGCGGACGGGUGAGGAAUACAUCGGAAUCUACUUUUUCGUGGGGGAUAACGUAGGGAAACUUACGCUAAUACCGCAUACGACCUACGGGUGAAACCAGGGAUUCUUCGAACUUUGCCCGAUUAAUUAGCCCGAUGUCGGAUUAGCUAGUUGGCGGGGUAAAGGCCCACCAAGGCGACGAUCCGUAGCUGGUCUGAGAGGAUGAUCAGCCACACUGGAACUGAGACACGGUCCAGACUCCUACGGGAGGCAGCAGUGGGGAAUAUUGGACAAUGGGCGCAAGCCUGAUCCAGCCAUACCGCGUGGGUGAAGAAGGCCUUCGGGUUGUAAAGCCCUUUUGUUGGGAAAGAAAAGCAGCAGGUUAAUACCCCGCUGUUCUGACGGUACCCAAAGAAUAAGCACCGGCUAACUUCGUG
rnacentral:rRNA from 1 species